rnacentral:rRNA from 1 species
UACGUAGGGUGCGAGCGUUGUCCGGAUUUAUUGGGCGUAAAGAGCUCGUAGGCGGUUCCGUAAGUCGUGAAGUCAAAUCUCUGGGCUCAACCCAGAAUCGCUUCCGAUACUGCGGUGACUGGAGUCCGGUGAGGGGAGUGUGGAAUUCCUGGUGUAGCGGUGAAAUGCGCAGAUAUCAGGAGGAACACCGGUGGGCGAAAGGCGGGUCUCUGGGCCGAA